rnacentral:tRNA from 1 species
GUGCGUGUAGCUCAGUGGUAGAGCACUGGAUUGUGGUUCCGGUGGUCGCGGGUUCAAACCCCGUCACGCACCCCA